UUCCAGGGCAUUAGAUAAGUAGGAAGGAAGGGCGAAGUGGAAAACUUGACAGCUGAAUUCCAUGACUGGUCUGACGCAGGUAGUGUAAAAAUUUAUUAUGCCAGCUUCAGGUACAUGAGCACGUUUCAACUGAAUAAUAAAAUAAAUCCGUUUGUUCGCCUUCUUAACUAUGUUAGUUAUGUGUUGGUUCCAUUUUAGAUCUUUAGAAAUUGUCAAACCUAGGAUUCUCGCGUGGUUCACUGUCUCGAUUUGGCCUGAGAUGAUCUUAAGGCGCGG